rnacentral:rRNA from 1 species
UUAAGCAUAUCAAUAAGCGCAGGAAAAGAAACCAACAGGGAUUGCCUCAGUAACGGCGAGUGAAGCGGCAAUAGCUCAAAUUUGAAAUCUGGCCUCUUGGGGUCCGAGUUGUAAUUUGUAGAGGAUGUUUCGGGUACCGCCCCGGUCUAAAUUUCUUGGAACAGAAUGUCAAAGAGGGUGAGAGUCCCGUCUUGGACCGGCGGUAGGGCCUAUGUGAAACUCCUUCGACGAGUCGAGUUGUUUGGGAAUGCAGCUCAAAAUGGGUGGUAAAUUUCAUCUAAAGCUAAAUAUUGGCCAGAGACCGAUAGCGCACAAGUAGAGUGAUCGAAAGAUGAAAAGCACUUUGAAAAGAGAGUUAAACAGUAUGUGAAAUUGUUGAAAGGGAAGCGCUUGCAACCAGACUUGAGCGCGGCGGUUCCCCUAGCCUUUUGGCUAGGCUACUCCGUCGUGUCCAGGCCAACAUCGGUUCUGAGUGUCGGUUAAAGGCCCUGGCAAUGUACCUACCCUCGGGUAGACUUAUAGGUCAGGGCGUCAUGCGACACCUCGGGACCGAGGAACGCGCUUCGGCUCGGAUGUUGGCGUAAUGGUUGUCAGCGACCCGUCUUGAAACACGGACCAAGGAGUCUAACAUCUAUGCGAGUGUUUGGGUGUCAAACCCGGAACGCGGAAUGAAAGUGAACGGAGGUAGGAAGCUUUUAGCUGCACUAUCGACCGAUCCUGAAGUUUACGGAUGGAUUUGAGUAAGAGCAUAGCUGUUGGGACCCGAAAGAUGGUGAACUAUGCCUGAAUAGGGUGAAGCCAGAGGAAACUCUGGUGGAGGCUCGCAGCGGUUCUGACGUGCAAAUCGAUCGUCAAAUUUAGGUAUAGGGGCGAAAGACUAAUCGAACCAUCUGGUAGCUGGUUCCUGCCGAAGUUUCCCUCAGGAUAGCAGUAACGUUUUCAGUUUUAUGAGGUAAAGCGAAUGAUUAGAGGCCUUGGGGUUGAAACAACCUUAACCUAUUCUCAAACUUUAAAUAUGUAAGAAGUCCUUGUUACUUAAUUGAACGUGGACAUUUGAAUGUACCGUUACUAGUGGGCCAUUUUUGGUAAGCAGAACUGGCGAUGCGGGAUGAACCGAACGUGAGGUUAAAGUGCCGGAAUGCACGCUCAUCAGACACCACAAAAGGUGUCAAUGCAUCUAGACAGCCGGACGGUGGCCAUGGAAGUCGGAAUCCGCUUAGGAGUGUGUAACAACUCACCGGCCGAAUGCAUUGGCCCUGAAAAUGGAUGGCGCUUAAGCGUGCUACUUAUACCUCGCCGUUAGGGUUGACAUGAUG